rnacentral:rRNA from 1 species
AUUCGAUAACCCACGACAAAUCUUACCACUUCUUGCAUAAUAGAUUUAUCUAUUACAGGUGUUGCAUGGCUGUCUUUAGUUCGUGUUGUGAAAUGUAAGGUUCAUUCCGAGAACGAACGCAAUCCUUAUCUUUAAUUAAAUUCUUUAAAGAAGUAUCUUUCGAUAAGAAGGAAUAAUUAGGAUGAAGACAAGUCCUCAUGACCCUUAUGGAGUGGGCUACAGACGUGCCGCAAAAAUUUCUACAAUGGGAAGCAAAGAUCCAAGUCCGAGCCAAUCCUUAAAAGAAAUUAAAGUACGGAUAAGAAUCUG